rnacentral:lncRNA from 1 species
UUUAAUUCUCUCCAACAAGGUCGAUUGAACCACCAAUGCGGCAAGAAUAGCCGGCACCUCCGGAGCUACUACUUCCAAACCAAACUGUUGCAUCUCCUUUUGCAAUGAUGGUUGUGUUAGUUGUAUGCCCUAGAAGCCUAUCAGGCUGACGCAUUUUAUUUUCUAUGGGACAUAUUUUUGUACUUAAUCUUUAUAUAAUUGGGCCUUUUAUUCCAUUCAUGUUAAAUGUGUCCAUGAAUCGUCCUUUGAAUUAAUAAGAUGAUAAUCUGUAUUCUCAAGAGUUGAGAAUUUGAGAUACAUAUUAUUGGUGAUUAAUUCAUAAAUGCUCUCAAUCGGAGGAUCAUCAUGGGGACGAUGAUUGAUCCGGUAAGAUUGAUGUGUGUGCCGCUUCCCUUUUGGGAUGACGAAUCUCGAGUCAUCAGUGUGGGGACACUGGAGCGAACAUGCAGGUGGUUGUUGGAGAACAACGGUACUGAGCGUGACCAACUACGAACAGUUACAUGGAUGUCUACUCAUUCGUCAGUAACUGGUUCGAUGUUGCAGUGGUACAACUGAUCCUUAGA